UGCUCAGCAACUCCUAUCCCUACCUCCUCGCGGUACUGGCCGGGGUACGAGUAACCUUAGGGAAGAUCGGGUAACCAACCCCCGGUGGGAACUUUGGUCGUAUGCUGACAGGGAAGG
rfam:Aedes aegypti strain Liverpool supercont1.338 genomic scaffold, whole genome shotgun sequence.